AUGACUUGCAGGUACUUCAUUGUAGUCGAUGAUUUAUGGACAUCAUCAGUAUGGGAUAUUAUUAGCCGCGCUUUUCCUUAUGAUGAUUGUUGCAGCAGAAUACUGGCAACCACACAAGUUGAGGAUGUAGCAUUAGCAUGUUCUGGUUAUGAGACAGAGUAUAUAUUAAAGAUGGGACGUCUUAAUGAUGAUAGGAUUAUCAGCAAAUGCGGUGGUUUACCGUUAUCAACUGUAAAUAUAGCAAGCCUGUUGCUGCCAAGAAUGCGGAGCCCUGCAGUGGAACAAUGGGAGAAGGUAGAAAGUUCUCUACCGUCCACUUUGAGGACAGAUCCUACUUCCCAAGGGAUAAAAGAUGUUCUAAUCCUUAUUUACAAUGAGCUUCCACUUCAUUUGAAGGCAUGCUUGCUCUACCUUAGUAUGUAUCCAGAGGGCUACUCUAUCAGGAAGGAUGAUUUGGUGAAGCAAUGGGUAGCUGAAAGUUUGGUCAGUGGCAUUGAGUAUGGUUACUUUAAUGAGCUUGUCAGAAGAGGUAUGAUCAAACCUGUAGACACCAAAUAUGACGGCGAGGUGUUGUCAUGUACAGUUAACCACAUGGUACUGGAUCUUAUCAGGUACAAAUCCGUUGAGGAUAAUUUCAUUAUUGCUGUGAACUACUUUGAAUCAACUCUACGGCUUCCUGACAAGGUUCGUCGGUUGUCCGUCCAGUUUGGAGGUGCAAAAAGUGCAAAGAUACCGGAAAGCAUCAGAAUGUCCCAAGUUCGAUCACUUCUAUUUUGUGGACCCUCCAGAUGUGUACCUUCCGUUCUGGAUUAUUGCCUUCUCCGAGUUCUGAUUCUUCAUAUUUUGGCUGAUCAAGACCAGAUGAGUUUUGAUUUCAGUAGAGUCGGUGAACUAUUUCGACUGAGAUAUCUGAUGGUUGAAUGCAAUAUCACCAUCAAUUUACCAGACAAGAUUCAAGGAUUAGAAUACUUGGAGACACUGCAAUUAGAUGGAAGGCUAUCUGCGGUUCCAUCAGAUAUUGGUCAUUUGGAGAAUUUACGGCACCUUCGCCUUCCCAGCCAGGCUAAUGUGAGGGACCUUGGCGGGCUGACCAAUCUCCAGGAUCUUCAUCUCACCCUUUCUAUAGCACAGCCAGUUGAUCAUCUGGAGGAUACCAUGAACCACCUGGGCUCAAUUCUCGACAAACUCAGCAACCUCCAGUCUUUGAUUCUGGCAUCUGCUGGUUCCUCUCCUGUAAAUACCUCAAGUGUGAGCAUUUCGUGUGAUGGCUUGAGCAAUGUGUUCCCUGCUCUGGCCCAUCUCGAGAGACUUGAGUUAUUGCCGCGGAUUUGCAUCUUUCCUAGCCUCCCAAAGUGGUUUAAAACACUCGACAGACUCGGCAGCCUAAAGGUAGGAGUUAGAGAGCUAUCAAACAGUGAUACUGAUAUCGUUAAAGGAUUGCCUUCCCUCACUGCCCUCUCGCUGUAUAUCCAGACAGCGCCCGCAGAGACAAUUGUCUUUGGCAACGACGGAUUUUCAGCUCUCAAGUACUUCAAGUUGAGGUGCAGUGAGCCUUUGCUGAAAUUUGAGGCUGGUGCAAUGCCUAAUCUUCGGAAGCUCAAGCUAGUCUUCAAUGCCCAGGAAGUGCAGCAGCAUGCUGUUGCACCUAUCUGCAUUGAGCACUUGGCAGGGCUUAAAGAGAUAUCCGCCAAAAUUUGGGGUGCAGGUGCUGCUGCCACAGAGUCUGCCUUAAGGAUUUCUGUUAUUAAUGAUCCAAAAAAUCCAAAAAUCAACAAGCAACAGGUGAACUGGAAUUUCUAUACUGACGAAUAUACAAUUAUGGGGACAUCAGAGCCAGCAGCCGUGAUUGUAGAAGAACGAGGUGAGAUCCUGGAAGAGAACACAGAAUAUGAGUACACAGGGGAAGAUGGGAACAGACAACCUGACAAAGAUAGAAUUAUGGGAACAUCGGAGUCAACAUCUGUGAUUGUAGAAGAAGAACGAGAUGAGAUCUUGGAAGAAAACUCAGAAUAUGAGUAUUCAGGGGACGAUGGGAACAGACAACCUGACAAAGAUAGAAUUAUGGGGACAUCAGAGUCAACAUCCAUGAUUGUAGAAGAAGAAAGAGGUGAGAUCCUGGAAGAAAACUCAGAAUAUGAGUGCUCAGAGGAAGAGGGGAACAGACAACCUAACAAAGAUAGAAUUAUGGGGACAUCAGAGUCAACAGCCGUGAAUGUAGAAGAAGAACGAGGUGAGAUCCUGGAAGAAAACUCAGAAUAUGAGUAUUCAGGGGAAGACGGGAAAAUACAAGCUGACAAAGAUAGAAUUAUGAGGACAUCAGAGUCAACAGCUGUGAAUGUAGAAGAAGAACGAGAUGAGAUCCUGGAAGAAAACUCAGAAUAUGAGUACACAGGGGAAGAUGGGAACAGACAACCUGACUGGUAUAUUUCUAUGCUUCGUUCUCUGGCAGAGGAGAGCUCCUCUCGUGCGUUGCCUCGGAGACACACCUCUCCUCCGUUGCCUUGGAUACGCCCCUCUCCUAGGUCGCCUUGGAGACGCCACGACCGGCGAUGUUGCCAGACGCUCCUCUCUGUGUUAGCCAGGACCAGGCGUGCCGUGAAAGCCGGCUGGACCGCCUUUAAAGCCGCCUACGAAGUCCGCGAUGAUCUCCUCUGGUGGGACAAUCUUGCACAAUGCAAUGCCGGUGAGCUCUGCAUGGCCGCCGUCCAGGCCAAUAAUCUGAUGGAGGACCAUUGUCGUGUAGAGUCGUCUCGUACCCUAGGCACCUGCAUCGGGAUCUUCGACGGUCACGGUGGCCCCGAGGCGGCCCGCUUCACUGCUGACAAUCUCGUCCGUAGACUCCAAUUUGGAGCCAGGUAUAGCUUGCGGGGCAUGACAGAUGACAUCAUCAGGGAGGCAUUCCUUGAUAUAGAGGCAAGCUUCAUCGAGCUUGUCUCACGGCAAUGGUUAGGCAAGCCGACCCUUGCCGCCGUCGGGACAUGCUGCCUUGUCGGCAUCGUGCACCACCGGACUCUCUUUGUCGGCAACCUCGGGGAUUCCCGAGCUGUUCUCGGAAAGGUAGGUUUCGGCGGGCAGAUUACUAUGGAGCAGCUGACGAAUGAACACAAUGUCCGUCACGAGAGUGUCAGGCAGGAGCUCAGGGCUCGGCACCCCAAUGAUCCAGAUAUUGUGGUGCCUAUUGAUAAUGUUUGGAGUGUGAAGGGCAAGAUACAGGUGUCAAGAUCAAUAGGUGACGCAUACUUGAAACACCAGCAGUUUAACUGGGAACCGCUACCUAGUAUGUUCAGACUUGGUGAACCAUUCAGCCGGCCUAUACUGAGUGCCAACCCAUCUAUCAUCUCACGUAGAUUUCAACCAAGUGACCGCUUCAUCAUAUUUGCCUCGGCUGGUCUGUGGGAAUUCUUGAGCAAUGAGGAAGCCAUCGAGAUUGUUCACAGAAACGAGCCUACUCUAGCUGCAGGAAAGCUUAUAGAAGCAGCUGUCCAGAAAGCGGGGAAGAAACCUGAGGCGCUUUCCAAACAUCUCAAGAAGACUGAGAGGGGGGCUCGCAGGCGUUUCCAUGAUGAUAUAACCGUGGUCGUCCUAUUUCUAGAUCAUUUCCUGUUAGAGUUCGAUGAACAACGCCGACAUCCGCCGUUUUCCAUAAGAUGCCCAUUAGGUAACACACUUGACAUGGAUAAUUUCAUGCAUCUAUCUGAUGAUGAUUAA
rnacentral:rRNA from 1 species